rnacentral:lncRNA from 1 species
UAUACAUACUAGCUCUGAGGUGGUGGUGCCUCUCCCCAUGAUGAGUACAUGACAGAUAUUUCUGAGCUUUUUUGGCCAAAUUUAACCACACCAGCCAACAGCAUCAAAAACAGGCUUUUUGAGUGAUUCUAAGCCAUCAGGGAAGAAUUUUAAAUACAUUUAGCCCUUGAGACAAUGCGAAGAAACAGGAAAGAGGUGAAGGUGAGAGAGACAAAAAUAUGCAUAACACCUUAGGGCAAGAUCUAAGUAUAACAGAAACAAACGGACAAGCAAAAACCCAAACUAUCUGGUCUCUUGGUUAAAGUCACACUUUCUGAAAACACUGAUUCCAAACAUUCAAAUCCUACUGACCACCCAGAGGAAAGUUCCCGGAGAUUCCAUGUAGUCCCAACAGUGGGCAGAACAGUUUCCUGUGGAGUCUAGGGAGCUACAGCUUCUCCCUGGGGACCAGAAUAAUAUUUCAUAUAUAUUCUGAAUAUAUAUGAAAUAAAUGUAUGCAUGUAGGAGAAGUUGGAGAGUUUACUUUAAAAAAUCUGUAGGGACUCUGGAGGACUGCUCUUCACAGGUCCACAGCUGUUUGGGGUUUCAAAUGCACAGGUU